rnacentral:rRNA from 1 species
CCUACGGGAGGCAGCAGUGGGGAAUCUUCCGCAAUGGACGAAAGUCUGACGGAGCGACGCCGCGUGUGGGAUGAAGGCUUUCGGGUCGUAAACCACUGUCAGGAGGGAGGAAUAAGUGCCGGAGUAACUGCCGGCAUGAUGACGUUACCUCCAGAGGAAGCCCCGGCUAAUCCUACGUGCCAGCAGCCGCGGUAAUACGUAAGGGGCGAGCGUUGUUCGGAUUGACUGGGUGUAAAGGGUCUGUAGGUGGUUCUGUAAGUCGGACGUGAAAUCCGGGAGCUUAACUCCCGAACUGCGCUCGAUACUGCGGGACUUGAGUAUAGGAGAGGCAUGCGGAAUUGACGGUGUAGCGGUGAAAUGCGUAGAUAUCGUCAAGAACACCGGUGGCGAAGGCGGCAUGCUGGCCUAAUACUGACACUAAGGGACGAAGGCGUGGGGAG